rnacentral:lncRNA from 1 species
GGGCGGACUUGAUGCGCAGACCCCGCGCAGCACCAUGCAGCCCCCGCCGAGGAAGGUGAGGGCUGAGGGGGGGGCGCCAUGUUGGGGAGGUCGUGGGGGGGGGUGGGGGAGGCAGGGAGGGGGCGGCGCCAUCUUGGGGAGGUCGCCGCGCGCCUCAGGGAGGCGGGCGGGAAAGCCCUGAGGGGGAGCCGGGGUAUGGCUGCCCGCGGUGAGGCGGCCCCGGCCAUCCCCGUGGCGUUUUGCUGUCAAAAAAACAAAAAAGCACGUUUCGCAACGUUUUGGCCCGCCGCUCGGGCGUCCCUUCCCACCUCCACCACCCCCAAACCCUAGUUCGGUGGUAGGAGAAGCCAUAUUGCUGAGCUAAUCCGGGUUUAAAAAUAACGCAAAAUAACACGAAACGGCUCUUUCUGAUACAUGAGGUCUGACAUUUUCUUGUAUUGUCACAUCAGGGCUCAGAGACCUGUACUGGGACCGCGGCCCUGUCACAGGAAGGUGUCCGCGUUCGAGGGCAGCCUGUGGUUUCAGUGGGAACCUGAAGUGAGGGAGUCUUAAGGAGGGACUUCACACUGAUGCACCGAAACCGACAAAUUGAAGAUGUGUUCUCCUCAACUAACGAAUGGCGUGGAAAGUGCAACGUGGACGGGUGCUCAAGAGAAAAGACGUCAGCCUACCAUCUGUGCCUAGUAGAAACCUCUUCCAUGGGGCAGGAAGUUAUGACCGCACUACGACCAUCUGAAGAUGCAAGAAUAUGGAAAGCACAGGACGAAAACCUCUCAGAGACGUGCCUCGUCUGCAGAGCCAGCCGAGGCAAUUGGCAUGCGUGUCAGGUGCUGCGGUGGGGUCAAUGCACAAAUACGAGCCCAAGGUCAGCCUCCAGUGAAGACCAGCUCAAUCGACAACAUUACUCCCAUCAGCUGAGCCCCUGUGGGGAGGAGAAAGACAAUUUCUCCAAGAAGUGUUUUGGAGAGACAGGUGUAGCUUUAGGAUUUGCUGAACACACCAACGUGCUUGUUUCAUGACAGCAGACAUUACAAUGAACAAGAGCCUGUUAUCUCACUGGGUUUAUACAGGAAGGUUGGUCUCUGGCGUGCUGGAGAUGAAGGAGCUGCACGUGGUUGUGUAGCGGAAGACGUGCUCCUGGCAGCAGCUCUGUUCUGUUUCCUACAAAAUGUCCUAGCUGCCUCAGAGUUAAAAAAUCUGCUGCUGCCUGCUGGCACUUUCUAGCUGCCUGUGCUUGCAAGCGGUAUGAGGAGGAAACCCAGCCACUGUGCAUCUUGUAUCAUCAGGAGAGAAAAAGCGAGAUCCGUCUUUUUUCUUGCCCGUGGAGUUUUCAUGCAUCUUAAGCCCACAGAAGAGAAAAGCAAUUGAUUCACCCACUGUGCUGUCAACAAACACCCUGAUGAUUUAGCGGUUUUGUAACUGAGCAGUUUUUAAACAUUCACAGUGCAGACUGAGGAGGAAAACUACAGACACAGCUGCGUGGCUUUUUCCUUUUCUCUCUUUUUCAGAUUAAAAAAAAAAAGGGAUGCAGCCAUUGCUUUCCUUUAAUAUGAGUCUUUGCAACAGUGAUUGUUCAGUAAUGUGCAAUAAAACAGAUUUGCACAGCUCA